GCCCUUUUUACUCUUCUGGGAGGAGCUGAGUCUGUGUGAUUGCAGGACAGAAUCCAGAAGGAACAGAUCUUUAAGUUAUAUCUGCGAUGCUGGGAGUGAUGCUGGGCUUAUCCCAAUUGACACUUUCUUUUUGGGAACUUCCUGAUCUCCACUGUCUUCCUAAGGCCGACCAGCCCCACUGGCGCUUCUGUUUUGACUCUAUAAUGUUUACUCUUGGUUUUUCUCACACUUGUGAUGCUCUUGCUCUUAAAAUCAAUUUUACUGAACUAGAGAUCGUCUAGUCCAGCUAGAUGAAGAAACUUUAUAGAUGAAGAAACUAAAUCUGAAAGUUAAAGAAAUGUCUAUAGUCUCAUGAGUGCUUAAGCAGAAUCUUAACAGAAUCUGGAUUUGAACUUGGCAUUUCUGACUCAUGCUCAUUUCACCUCUAAAAGGAAAAGUCAAACGUGUCCUUCAGACCUGGAGAAAAUGAGUUUUGGAAAUGUACUGUGUUAGGUUGAUUUAUUAAACCACUCCCCACGUGGGUCAGGGCUGUCUAUUUAAAUAUCUGUGCCUGGACUCUCCUCCUAUGGACACUUAUUCCACCUGGCCUUGGAUCAGCUUCUGGGUCCUUCCUUCUUUGCCUGUCAUUCCUUCCCCUUCUGAAA
rnacentral:lncRNA from 1 species